CCUACGGGAGGCAGCAGUGGGGAAUAUUGGACAAUGGGCGAAAGCCUGAUCCAGCCAUGCCGCGUGUGUGAAGAAGGUCUUCGGAUUGUAAAGCACUUUAAGUUGGGAGGAAGGGCAUUAACCUAAUACGUUAGUGUUUUGACGUUACCGACAGAAUAAGCACCGGCUAACUUCGUGCCAGCAGCCGCGUAAU
rnacentral:rRNA from 1 species